CUACAAUGUACUUUUUAUAUAUCUAUUAUACGAGAACACGUUAUUUGCCUGAGCAAAUUUAUUCAUGCUAAAAAGACUUAAUACUCCUUGCUGAACCUGCGUUUAUAAACUCAAAAAAAUCUAUUUCAUGUAAAAUGACUAUCCAACCCUUCCGAAGCCUGCUCCGAACCUAAUUCUCGUCUUAGAUUCUCCGGCAGAAAUUAUCUCUUUCUGCUUGCCUGCUCGACUUCCUCCAUCUUCCAGUUAUAAUCAUGUUAAUGCCUAUAGUACGGUUUUCUCUAGCAAAUAGGGAUUUUCCAAUUUUAAUCAUCUCAGAUUCUCAAUCCGUCAGUUGUCGACAACCUUCGCUCGGGUUACCAAGUUGUCGGGUUUGUGUGAUAUUAUUCAAAGCAUAUGGUGAAUUUGUUGAUGAGAAUGAGAGUGAAUGAAGGUUUCAAUUUGUGAUUUGUGAAGAAAAUGCAGUUUUCAGGUUUUGAAAUUGCUUUCAGGCGAUCCUGACAAAGUUACGGUGGUGGAAGCCUUGAGUGUUGCUUGUGUCGAUUUUUCAGCUGUUGGUGUGGGUAUGUUCUCUUGACAGCUUACUUGGUUACCACUAUCCGCAAAUUCUAAAACUUGUGAGGAAUAUAUAUAAUCAUAUUUAUGUUUGGUAUGAUUUUCUGGCGCUAGAUUUUUUCCCGAGAGGAACUUGAAAAACUCUGUUGGGAUGAUAUAAUUAAAAACUGAUAAAAUUUCAAAGUUCAGUUACGGCUGGAUCAUCGGUCAGCACCCUCCUUUUGUUAAGAUUUUUGUAGAUGUAUUUAUUUCUUCGAUCCGACAAGCUUGUUAUGAAUUUUGAUUUCAAGUCUCUGCAUUUAGCUCUAAAAUUUUGGUUGAGAAAGGUCAAUAUUUUUACUUGUUUUGUUCCAGCAGUGAUCAUGUAAUCAUCUAGGGCGUGUCACUGAAUUUUAUAGUAGCUAGAGUUGAACUUGAUUGAUUUUUCUUGGAAAGUUUUUUCCUCCUAAUUUACAGAAGAAUUGUGUUGGUCACUCGUAGCUUCCUGUGAAAUACUCAAAGCUAUCUGCGGUUUGAGGUACAUGAUUGUACUGUGGUGUUAAUUAAUAUAAUAUUAUGAUUCUUGUCACUUUUCUUUAUAGUAGUAUGGUGCUUUAUUGUGUAAAACUUUUACUGGUGAACAGUCUAUGUCGUGCAGGCUAUUAGAUAACAAACAGUCUAUGUCAUGCUCAUCCUAAUUUAAAUCAGUUGGUUAGCUUAUUUUGCUUAUAUAUAAAGGAAGAUUAAUUAAGUCUCUGAGAUUAAUGAUAUGGUAAUUGGUAUGGUGCAUGUGCAUGCUUACCAAUCUUAAUGUUCUUUUUAAUGAAGCAGCGAGAGGACUUGCUUUUCUCCAUUCAAGUACAGAGAUUGGAGCUCCUAUAGUUCAUAGUUCACAGGGACUUCAAAUCCACCAAUAUCCUUUUGAACGAUAACUAUGAGGCAAAGAUAUCAGAUUUCAGGCUUGCAAAGUUCAUGCCUGAUGGGCAUGAAAACUGUGUUACCGCCACAGUUCUUGGUACCUUCGUCUACUUUGAUCCUGAGUAUAAAUUGGUAUGCUUUUUAAUGCAAUUAACAUAACUACUCCUACUUGGUUGUGUCUGUCCAUAUAUAACUAAAAGUACUACACCAGAUCCAUUUAAUUCAACAUGAAGAACAUAGUUCAGGCGUCUAGGCAAAGCAACCAGAAGAAUAAUCUGUCAUUGGUUCGGUUUAUCAAUAAAUUGUGACCGCAUUCAGAUUCUUACUGGUGGUCGUUUUCAGCAACGACUCAGCACCUAAUAUAUAAGUAUGUUGGCCUGUGGAAAUCUGAACUAAGAGCUUAUAGUACUGCUGCUACUGCCUUCUUAUUCAAUGAAUCACUUGCUGCUGUUACUAUCAGAAUUCAAAAUGAAUCUUAGAAACAAAUAUAGAAACGUAGUAACAUAAAAGAUAUGGAUGUGGAUGAACAAACCAGGUCUCCUUCAGUUGCCAUUAAUCGUCGUACUUAGUAAAAUAUAACCUGGUUUCAAUGAUGUCCUGGGAAAAAAUAUCCCAACUCCCAUACCCAAAAUUUAUUGGUAAUAAUUCAGCAAAGAUCUUUAGAUUAUUUGCGAGAACAAUGAAUUUAUAGAAAAAUAAUUAAAUAGAGAGCUGAAAGAUAUCAUUUACAUAAGCUCAUUCCUGAUUCUCCCCCUCUCUUUUUCUACAUAAGAGUCUACUGUAUUAUGUUUAUUAAAUUAAGAUCCCGUAUUAUGCUCCCAUAUACAGCCAGAUAAACAAAUACUACUACUUUGUUUCACCAACACAGCGCAUGAACUGCACAACCGACUGACAGAAAGGCUAACUCAUUACAAGUGCAAGAUUUCAGUCGAACUCUGCAAUUUUGCCUAAAUGUACCCGACGUGGAUAAGCUGAAGACACAUAUCCAUUUGAAACUUCUCAUGUGUCUUAGUAAGCUUGCGAACAAGGAUGCAGCUCAGCGAGAGGACUUGCUUUUCUCCAUUCAAGUACAGAGAUUGGAGCUCCUAUAGUUCACAGGGACUUCAAAUCCACCAAUAUCCUUUUGAACGAUAACUAUGAGGCAAAGAUAUCAAAUUUCAGGCUUGCAAAGUUCAUGCCAGAUGGGCAUGAAAACUGUGUUACCGCCACAGUUCUUGGUACCUUCGGCUACUUUGAUCCUGAGUAUAAAUUGGUAUGCUUUUUAAUGCAAUUAACAUAACUACUCCUACUUGGUUGUGUCUGUCCAUAUAUAACUAAAAGUACUACACUAGAUCCAUUUAAUUCAACAUGAAGAACAUAGUUCAGGCGUCUAGGCAAAGCAACCAGAAGAAUAAUCUGUCACCUCUGAGGCAAAUAUAUUGUAGAUAAAUAAUAGACAACUGCACUGAAACUCUAUAGCUCACUAGCUGUAGACCCUAGUGCACCGAAAGUAACCUGUCAGAACCAAGUUAAUGAUUUGGAACAUAUCUAUGUAAUCAAUAGAUUAGUUAGUCUGCCUCGCCGAAUUAUAGGUCAUUGAUCUGCAAGUUUUCUACUUGAGAGUAAGGAGACGGGAAUUGCAUUAUUAGUUGCUUAAACUUAGUUCAUUUGUUAACCUGUUCACUCUAUAGUAAAAUUCUGCUUUUCAAGUAUAGUUCUCUAAUGUAGACCAUUGCAAUAGUUUAUACAAGAAAUUUCAAGUUUAUCUAAUGCAAUAAUUUUCCAAUUCCUUUAAAUAUAGUUUCUUCUUCUCUCUACAACUUAUAUCUGCUCUAAGUCUUGGAUUUUUUUUUUUUGUUAUAGGAUCUGGUCUAACCAUAUAUUUACAGUAUUCUUGUUCCAUCUGACUCUAAAUUUCUCGUAUGAUGGUUCCUGAUCAUAAUAUUGAAUUUCUGUUAUUAUAGAAUAUUUACAUUAUAUGCCUGCUUUUUAGGUUUCUAUACUGAACAACUGACAAUAUGAGCCUAGUACUGAAGUCUCGACUCUCGAGUUAGUUUUGGUUUAGUUUAUGAAUCCAUUUAUAAAUUUAGCAUAUGAAAAUAGUGGUACCCUAAUACAAACUACUGUUCUAUCGAAUUUGUUACUUCAAGGAUGUUGAAAACUCACGUGAUUACUUCAAGGGAAGGCAUGCCUGAUGCAAUUUCUGUUGACAAGUAAGUACCAGCAAGGGGAGAACCCAGAUCCUGUGUUUCAUGACUCGGUGUCCAGCCAAAAAGAAAUCCCUCCCUCUGCAGUGCAAGACAAGUACACUAAGGUUAAGGUCUUAACUCUUAAGGAUCUUGUCCUUCAGUACACUAAGCGCCAGAAGGCUCAAGUCACCUAAAAAGAAUCGGACUGUACGGCCUGAUAAUUUUGAGAGUUUCUUUCCACUUAUUCCUUUGUCAUGAGACAGAGAGACUUGUCUACUGCAUGUCACUUGAAUCAGUUUUUUUUUUUUUCUCUGUUAAUCGCUAUUUUUACGAGUAUACAGUCUCUCCCAUUUCAUGCAACACUUUUAUUGAGCAUGUUUGUGCACUUAUUAAAUAAGUGAUUUAUACCAGGCCCGUGCAUUGCACGGGCACUGAUGCUAGUUAUACUAAAUCUUGUCAUUUUUAUA